rfam:Mustela putorius furo unplaced genomic scaffold scaffold00159, whole genome shotgun sequence.
AGUUUUGCGCAGUGGCAGUAUCGUAGCCAAUGAGGUUUAUCCGAGGCGCCAUUAUUGCUAAUUGAUUUGGGCGAAUUCCUCUUCCUGAGGUUCCCAAAGUAUCCUGCCAGGAAGUGACAUUCUUUACUCACCUGGUGAGGC